rnacentral:pre_miRNA from 1 species
UACCCGUAGCUCCGAAAUCGUGUCAGCAUUUGAAUACACGUUUCGUUGCUCGGGUGCC